AUAAAUAUAAUGUAUUUACUUAACCCAUUUUGUUGUUAAAACUCAUAUAUUUAAUAUAUAUGUUCGCUACGCUUAAUAGUUUAUCAAACUAUAUUUAUCAUUCUUAAGUCUGUAUCAAUUCUAAUAAAACAUAGUAUCUGUUUUUUAUAGCGCCAUCUUCUUUCGAAGCUUGACGACCAUCAUGGCUACUAUAUGGAUGUCCUAUAUCUGGUGGUUUGCCCAAACCAUUGCCGAAGAUACCUAAACCAAGACGAAUCUUGUUCCUGUUAUAUCUUGAAAUUACAUUGCCUCAUCAUUAACAUGGUAAUGUAGCCCGUUCAGUGAGCUAAGGCAAACCGUCUCGCCGUAUUCAGGACUGUAUCGGCAUUAAGAUAGUUGUGGAUACUAUAUAUGGAUGUUUAAUAUACCAUGGUCGACCAUAUAUGACCGAAAUUACUAAAGGAUAUAUGGUUAUAAUUAACACACCUACUGAAAGGACACGUGUGAAAGUGACAUGAGAACUUAAGGAGGCGCCAGGCGGAUGUAUGUAACUUCCUCACAAUGGAGUAGCCCGUAAUAUCUCAACACACAACACACGAGGGGAUUUUUUGUAUACUGCGAACCUGCAUGUUCCAACAUGUCAACCUGCAUGGGGAGGAAAGGAUCUGCACUGAUUAAGCCGUAACGUUUUCUGGUUGGCAAAGAUUGCUAAAAACCACAUGAUACUUAAAGAACGAAGCUAAAUAUCCCUGCUGUGUAAUGCUUCAAGGGAAUUUUUAAAAUCAGGUGAUUUUAUAAUGUUUAGACCAAAAGUUUGACAGAAAUUAAAAAUAUCUUAACUGUUCUUUAUUAUGACAUGAUAAUU